GACGAACGCUGGCGGCGUGCUUAACACAUGCAAGUCGAACGGAAAGGCCCUGCUUUUGUGGGGUGCUCGAGUGGCGAACGGGUGAGUAACACGUGAGUAACCUGCCCUUGACUUUGGGAUAACUUCAGGAAACUGGGGCUAAUACCGGAUAGGAGCUCCUGCUGCACGGUGGGGGUUGGAGAGUUUCGGCGGUUGGGGAUGGACUCGCGGCUUAUCGGCUUGUUGGUGGGGUAGUGGCUUACCAAGGCUUUGACGGGUAGCCGGCCUGAGAGGGUGACCGGCCACAUUGGGACUGAGAUACGGCCCAGACUCCUACGGGAGGCAGCAGUGGGGAAUAUUGCACAAUGGGCGGAAGCCUGAUGUAGCAACGCCGCGUGCGGGAUGACGGCCUUCGGGUUGUAAACCGCUUUCGCCUGUGACGAAGCGUGAGUGACGGUAAUGGGUAAAGAAGCACCGGCUAACUACGUG
rnacentral:rRNA from 1 species